CUCGUACCAAGUGAUUCCAGAAAAAACUUGAAUAAGGGAUUUCAGCGGUCGCCACCAAGUUCCAUUACCCCCGUAACCAGAUUGAUUUAGAAAACAAUGAUCCCACCUGUUGCAAAUCCAGUCACCACAUUUCCAACCAGGAGGAACGGUAUUUUCACAUGCAUACCCUCCUGAUGCCAUUACGCCAGCACCAUACCCGUAAAAAUCUUCUUUUGAGGCAGCACAUCUAAAGCAAUUUGUUCUGCUAGCAUAAUUAUGUGCUCCACAGUUCAUGACAUUGCAGUACCAGUCCCCAGCCAAGACUUCUUCCCUGUUGAUCCCAUAGGAUGCCAUAUCAGCCUCACUGCCAAAUUUAGGGAAUCUACAACGAUGGCAUGAAUCUCGUUUCUUGAAAUUCAAAUGCUGGCACGAGCCACACAACCAAUCUCCGCUGCUCAUUUCUUUUUCUUUAUAUACUGAAAUAAAAAUUAUACAAUUUAAGUUAGUUUAUAUUUACAGAUAUAUAAGCUGAUAAACAUGAACUUUAUUAAUGAGAAAUGCAUAUCGCAAUUUAUAUGCUUAAAGUUAAGACAGAGCUGAUUAUUCUGUGUUAAACAUAUAUUGUGUAUAAAUCCAUAUUGAUUAUUUCAUGAAAGAUUUUGGUUCAAUGGCUGACAGAUGCUAGGAUAGAAACCUUCAUCAUGCAUCAUUCAUUCAAGGAGAUUCAUUCAACAGACUUUGGAACACCUUCUUACUUCUUACUAUGAUAAUAAGAGUAGAAAAGUUGAUGUGGAAGCUACAUUAAGCAUAGAAGAAUCAUCUAUACAAAGAAAACAAGCUUAAAUGAAAAGGACUCACCUCAAGAACUUGAAAAAUGGUUCAGAAGUAGUUGAUAGUAUGACUGGAACAAGCUGAACAGAUAUGCUAUGGAAUUGAUGAUUUUAAUGGACGCUUGGAAUGGUUUAUAUACUCGCUGAGACCUUAAGCAUGGGGAUAAAAGUGGACCCAUUCAUGUCAUGCAUUAUUUGAAAGGAAGUGAAGUAUUAUUCUCCUUUUUACUAUAUCCAUUUGUGGAGGUGUUAUGAGGGGCAAGUGUUAUUUGAGUGUUUGGAAACAGGGAUAUAUUACCUCCAUUCUUCCUCACAUGGAUGGCCCCACUUAUGUCAGGGUGACAUGGAUGCUUACAUGGAUUCAGAGUAACCUGCAUACAGACUUUCUGAUUACUUGUUUUUUAUUGUUUUAGUUGACAUGGUUCAAGUUGGAAGGCUAGGUUACUAAUAAAGGUUCUCGCAAGGAAUCAGUUCUUCGUGAUGCACAUCCAUUGUCAAAUUCUAUUUUUCUUAUCGGUUCAUUAUUUCUGCAGUAAUCAAAAAAUCAUUUCAAGAUUCAUAAUUAGUGGCUCCCUUUAGUAUUUCAUAUCUUAUUUACUUUUUGCCUGAUGGGUAGACAUAUGCACAGUAAAAUUCUUUUCUAGACCGAAGGUAUUGUAACAUUUGUAUGACUUAUAUGCUAGUUAUCCCUUAAUGUAGUAAAUUGGUAUUUUAGUCUUUCGUAUCAUUCAAUUGCAAACUAUAUGAGGAAAUGACCUGGCCACUUAAAAAAAAAAGAUAUGUUAUCUUCAUCUUUACCAGCCUGUGUUUAAAACAAUAUAUAAUCUGUUGAGUUUACAUGGUUCCUUUUAAGAGUCUCUUUUAUUCACAUGCAAUUUCAAGUUCUACGAGCUUUAAAGGAUUUAUCUGACAAUUUCAGGAGACUUUUGCAAAGGAGUAUAAGUUGUUCCACAUCUUCAGAGUUUGCCAUGUCAUUAUUCUCCAUCUAAUAUCAAAUUAGAUGCUGGUGGCUAUGAUAUUAAUCCCUGGAAAAAUUUCGCUUAGAAUGGUCAUCAACAAAUGCAUUCUGCAACUUUCAAGUUAGUUUGUAUAUGAAAAGUAGAAAUCCAGCACAUCUGGUUCAGAUACACACAAAAAGGAUAUUUGCAUCCCAUGCUUGGUCUAUACGGUAAAACAUUCAAACUUCGUUUUAUUGAUGCUUGAUUACACUAGUACAAGCUGUUUUUUUCUAUUUACACGAGCUUGCUAAUUUUUAGCAUCAUUGUCGAACAAUGUAAUUUCUUAAUUUCAUCCUUCAAUGUCAGAACCCUGGCUCUGCUUGAAGGAGUUUUGCCUCGCUGUUGCCAGAACGGUCUUGUCUGCAACUAUGAAAUACGCAGCACCAGCCACUGCAAUAACAAGAAAUAGACAACAUCACAUUAUUACCAGACGAUGAAGACCAAAUCACGAAAGGUAAAGUUUCUCUGUAUAUUUAUAUCAACCUGUGGAGAUAAUGAGAGCCUGAGCAGUGUGGUUAAGGUAGGUUCUCCCCCACGGCAGCAUCCUGGCAGUCGCAACCUGCGUGUGUUUAAAUGAAACCAGGUGUCAAAUUUUAGUUUCCGUAGCUGGAAAAAAAUGGAUAUAAGAUUAAAAUGUUCUUCGUUGCCUUACAGUAGGAAUAGCGGUUGCAAUAGUAGCAACCACAGCAGCUUUUGCACCAGCAACGACGCCUUCUGCACACACAAAGAGUAGCCAUUUUUAGCAAUGCUGUACAGAAAAAUAACGCAUAUUUGUAAUUAUACAAAAUGGUAAGCAAAUGUGAGAAAACGUUACGAUGAGAACAAUGCUUGGCCAUGGCUAGCCUCUGGUCCAAGGACACCAUGUUGUUUCUUUCGAGAGGCGACUGAGCCAUAUCUUUAGCCAUUGCAGAUUGAAAGGAAAUGUAGAUAAGUUGAGUAACUAAUGAAUUGAUGUUGGUUUGUAUUGAGGAGUAAUGAAGUUGCAGGGGGGGUACUUAUAGUCCAGAUGGUCAGUUUUAAAGGUGAAACAGUUUGAGAUGUGGCCAAAAUGUAGUUGAUGGUUUCAGAAAAUACUAACGUCUGAGGCACUUGUUUAUUGUAGAUUUCCUCUUGUUUUGGUCUGCUGA